CGGAGGGUGAACUCCCAGGCGGCGUCGGGGGCCAGCAGCGCCGCGUCGCCGGCCGCGUCACCGCCGGCGAGCACCGCGGUCACCGUCUCGUCGCCGUACUUGCCGGCGCCGAUCCGUUCGAACUUUCCGUGGGCGAUCAGGAUGACCUGGUCGGUCGGCGUGCCGCGCUCGACGAGGACGUCACCGGGGGCGACCUCCCGCUGGGCGAACCGUCCGGCCAACUCCUGGAGCGUCGGGUCGUCGGUGAAGCCGCGCAGCGGUGCCAGCUCGCGCAACUCCUGGGGAAUGACCCGGACUUCGGCGCCCUCGGUGAUGAACUCCACCUCGCCGUCGCCGAGGGUGUGGGUCAGGCGCCGGUUGACGCGGUACGUGCCGCCGGAGACCUGCACCCAGGGCAGCAGCCGCAGCAGCCACCGCGAGGAGAUGCCCUGCAUCUGCGGCGCGGUCUUGGUCGUGGUCGCCAGAUUGCGGGCGGCCGCGGUGUCCAGGCUGGACCGCAGCUGCUCGG
rnacentral:antisense_RNA from 1 species